UACAGAGGGUGCAAGCGUUGUUCGGAAUUAUUGGGCGUAAAGGGCGCGUAGGCGGUGCGGUAAGUCACCUGUGAAACCUCUGGGCUUAACUCAGAGCCUGCAGGCGAAACUGCCGUGCUUGAGUGUGGGAGAGGUGCGUGGAAUUCCCGGUGUAGCGGUGAAAUGCGCAGAUAUCGGGAGGAACACCGGUGGCGAAGGCGGUUCUCUGGGCCUUACCUGGACGCUGAGGAGCGAAAGCGUGGGGAGCGAACAGG
rnacentral:rRNA from 1 species